rnacentral:rRNA from 1 species
UCCGUAGGGUGAACCUGCGGAAGGAUCAUUACCUAGAGUUGUAGGCUUUGCCUGCUAUCUCUUACCCAUGUCUUUUAAGUACCUUCGUUUCCUCGGCGGGUUCGCCCGCCGAUUGGACAAUUUAAACCAUUUGCAGUUGCAAUCAGCGUCUGAAAAAACUUAAUAGUUACAACUUUCAACAACGGAUCUCUUGGUUCUGGCAUCGAUGAAGAACGCAGCGAAAUGCGAUAAGUAGUGUGAAUUGCAGAAUUCAGUGAAUCAUCGAAUCUUUGAACGCACAUUGCGCCCCUUGGUAUUCCAUGGGGCAUGCCUGUUCGAGCGUCAUUUGUACCUUCAAGCUCUGCUUGGUGUUGGGUGUUUGUCUCGCCUCUGCGUGUAGACUCGCCUCAAAACAAUUGGCAGCCGGCGUAUUGAUUUCGGAGCGCAGUACAUCUCGCGCUUUGCACUCACAACGACGACGUCCAAAAGUACAUUUUUACACUCUUGACCUCGGAUCAGGUAGGGAUACCCGCUGAACUUAAGCAUAUCAAUAAGCGGAGG